rnacentral:rRNA from 1 species
AACGAACGCUGGCGGCGUGCUUAAUACAUGCAAGUCUAACGAGAAAGCUUGGCUUCGGUUGAGCGAGUAAAGUGGCGAACGGGUGAGUAACACGUGGGCAAUCUGCCCUUAAGUUUGGGAUAAGCCUUCGAAAGGAGGUCUAAUACCGGAUAAUAUCUCGAGAUGGCAUCUUUUUGAGAUCAAAGGCGGGGUAACCUGCCACUUAAGGAUGAGCCCGCGCUCCAUUAGCUUGUUGGUGAGGUAACGGCUCACCAAGGCUGCGAUGGAUAGCCGGCCUGAGAGGGUGAACGGCCACACUGGGACUGAGAUACGGCCCAGACUCCUACGGGAGGCAGCAGUAGGGAAUAUUGCGCAAUGGACGAAAGUCUGACGCAGCAACGCCGCGUGGAUGAUGAAGCUUCUUGGAGUGUAAAAUCCUGUCAGUGGGGAAGAAACAGUUAGGGAGUAACUGCCCUAACCUGACG